UUUGAGAGAGAGUUCAAGAGUACGUGAAACUGCUCAGAGGCAAACGGGUGGGCCCUCGAAAUCCCACUGCGGAGAGAUUCAGUCGGCACCGGACCUGGCGCGGCGGCUUGCCGGACCCGACCAGGGUCGGCGCCUGCAGCGCGGUCGGGUUCGGUUCCGACGCACUUCUCUCCGCACCGAGGACGCCGCGACCGAUCGGGUAGCAGCGAGAGUCGGCCUUGCGGCGGCUCCAGGCAGGUGGCCGGUCGGGGACUUCGCGUCCCCGCCGGUUAUUCACGGAGCCCGUCCGUGGCGCGACACCCGAUCGAGGUCAACGUUCUCCCCACGGAGAACCGAUCGUCUCCGUCUCUCUCGAGACGCGGCGCACCGAGCCAGUGAGCGCCCGCGACGGUGAACCACUGCGGCAGUGGCCGGCGCGCGGGUGGCCGUCGAUGGGCUCGGGCAAAGCCGCGUGGAGACGCGCGAUCCGCGGCGAGUAGGUCGGUCACCCACCCGACCCGUCUUGAAACACGGACCAAGGAGUCUAACAUGUGCGCGAGUCGCAGGGUCUUGAACAGGCCCCCGGGCGCAAUGAAAGUGAAGGUCCUCCCCCGCGGGGACCGAGUUGGGACUCCGACACUCGUCGGAAGCACCAACGGCCCGCCCGCACCGGUCCGCCGGUGGGGCGGAGUCUGAGCGCACACGUUGGGACCCGAAAGAUGGUGAACUAUGCCUGGGCAGGAACGGAAGCCAGGAGGGAAACUCUGGUGGGAGGUUCGCAGC
rnacentral:rRNA from 1 species